rnacentral:rRNA from 1 species
GAUGAACGCUGGCGGCGUGCCUAAUACAUGCAAGUCGAGCGAACAGAUGAGGAGCUUGCUCCUCUGACGUUAGUGGCGGAUGGGUGAGUAACACGUGGAUAACCAACCUAUAAGUCAGCGAUCACUUCGGGAGACCGGACAUCAUACCGCAUAUUAUAUUGCACCGUAUGCUUACAUAGUGAAAGACGGUUUUGCUGACAAUUAUAGUUGGAUCAGCGCCGCAUUAGCUAGUUGGUAAGGUAACGGCUUACCAAGGCAACGAUGCGUAGCGGACCUGAGAGGGUGAUCGGCCACACUAGAACUGAGACACGGUCCAGACUCCUACGGGAGGAAGCAGUAGGGAAUCUUCCGCAAGGGACGAAAGCCUGACGUAGCAACGCCGCGGGAGUGAUGAAGGUCUUCGGAUCGUAAAACUCUGUUAUUAGGGAAGAACAAAUGUGUAAGUAACUAUGCACGUCUUGACGGUACCUAAUCAGAAAGCCACGGCUAACUACGUG